rnacentral:rRNA from 1 species
GAUGAACGCUGGCGGCGUGCCUAACACAUGCAAGUCGAACGCUCGCAAGAGAGUGGCGCACGGGUGAGUAACACGUAGCUAAUCUGCCCUCAAGACAAGGAUAACUGUAGGAAACUACUGCUAAUACUUGAUAAGCUUACGGACUGUAGAGGUCUAUAAGAAAAGAUUUAUCGCUUGAGGAUGAGGCUGCGCGCCAUCAGCUAGUCGGUAAGGUAAUGGCUUACCAAGGCGACGACGGCUAGGGGACCUGAGAGGGUGACCCCCCCACACUGGGACUGAGACACGGCCCAGACUCCUACGGGAGGCAGCAGUGAGGAAUAUUGGUCAAUGGAGGCAACUCUGAACCAGCCAUGCCGCGUGCAGGAUGACGGCCCUAUGGGUUGUAAACUGCUUUUAUACAAGAGAAAACCCUGGUACGUGUACCAGGUUGAUAGUAUUGUAAGAAUAAGCAUCGGCUAACUUCGUGCCAGCAGCCGCGGUAAU